GUACCCUUUAUCUUUGCUGAGAUCCGGCUGAGAUUAAAGUAUCAUCCUUUUCCAUCAACUCACUAUAGAUCUGUGAUCUCCCUUCUCUCAUGCAAGAACAACCUCAGGCAAAGUUCCUCCAGUCAUGUGGUGACCACCCCAGUUUCUCUCAUUCUCACGCUGGGGAUAACUCAGUCUUGUGUGUCACAUGAGGAUUUGACAGACAGGCCCAGCUGUGGCAGUCAGGCGCCAGAGCAUCACAGCCUCCAAGUCCAAGGCAGACAAGGCCCAAACCCAGAACAAUUCAGUCUUUGUGGCUCUACUGGAAACCAUCAACCGCAUCCAAAUGACCGAGCAGCCGAUCAUGUAAUCGGGAUCUCCAAGAAGCCACGAUAAUGCCUUGUAAAGCCUUCACUGUGAUGUGCUCACAGUGAUCUGGUGGGAGACUCAUUUGUCCUUUUGCUGGCUAAUUACAGAGAGUCGUGCGACCACCCCCUGCGUUCCCAGGCAACCUUUCACCUCUGAGGUGUUGAGCAGGCAAUUACUCUUCCUGGCUUCUGUGUGAAGGGUACAGACACAAACUGGCUAUUCCUCUCCCUCUCUCUCUGGAGUAUUCACAGUAUUUGGACAACAUACAAGUGCUAAACACACACACCCAUCUGCAGAUGGUGGUGCUGAGAGGACGUUGCCCUCCAUCUGACCCGCAUCUGAUUCACCUUGAGCAAGGCAAGCUGUUGGCAACAGACACCAAGCCACAGAGUUCGCCCGUGCUGUGACACUGUUGUGUAAUCUAUGAGGAAGCUGCUCUGUAAUAAAUAAAUCUGGCUGAAGAAGUCCAUCUGGGAACAACAUUUUUCUGUAGAGCUAUCCUGACGUGAUGCCUGGUGGGCUUUAUAAAUAUCCUGAGCCCAUCCGCGCAAUGUGAACUGUGUUUCACCCUCCCACACCCUUCCCCUUUGAGUGUUUGCCUUCUGCUUGCGGUGAAAAGCAGGCUUUACUUUGCUUUGUUUGUCCCUCAGUGCU